AAUAGAAAUCUAAACUUCCUAAUUUUAUAGUGAAAAAUUAAAUCAACAUAAUUCAUAAAUUGAAUAUUCAUUAACUACAUCAUUCUCCUCUCAUUAGAGAAAACUCAACCUUGAGUUUUGUUGUGGUGAAGAAUCAGAAACUGAAUUUGAAGAACAAGCAACUUCAUCUUCUUUGAUGGUAGCAAUACGAUUGAAUGAAGAACUUUAUUCUUUCCUCACAUCCCCAAGAAGAUCGAAAAGAUAAAAUCAGUCACAACUGCAACUGAAUGCUGGUGAAUGUAAUAGGAAAAGAGAAUUAGAUAGACUUUCAACUUUCUUCUUGGUAUCCAAAAUACCAUUCUUAAUAUUGCUGAACAUGUCAAUGCUUUUUGACUGAUCAGUAUGAUUACCAUCAUCUUGUGUCUUUAAGGAACAAGAAUCUGCCGAGGAAUCGCCUUCACCAUUCUGUGCAACACCAUUGAAACAACCGAGUUAGAAGAUUUGUUAUUUAUAGGAUCAGCUUGAUUAGGAGAACCUGCUGCAGCUGUUAUUUCUUUAUCAGCAAUGACACUCCAACUGAUUUGCUUUCUUUAACAUAGUUACAUCAGUAUCAUGGGCAUCAUUUUGUUCAACAGUACCAAAUUGGCAUAUAGAGGCAUUAUUUCACUAUAAUCAUCUAAGGAAAUACACAAUGAUUGCACAACAUGUUGCAAGUAAGGCUUAACCUUGUUAGCACAACUUUGAAGUACUUUUUAUCCCAACUCACAAGCAACAGGUAGAACUUCCACAUUGCCGCUUUUUACAAUAGCUAAAAGAGGAGAAAGCAAUUUUGGAGAGAUGUCUUAAAUUUCUUCUAAUGGCUGUCUCCAUGAAUGAAAAAGAUAUUCUCUUGGUGAUGAUCCCUUAUAUCAUUAAAAAAAAAAAUUGCUAGAACAUCUCAAUUAUCAAAACAUCACAUUCAAGAUCCAACAUCAUCACACAUGACCGAACUUUCGCAACAGAUUCAAGAAUCUAAAUCCUUUUACCAUAUGAUCGACUAAACUUGUCAGCUAGAUUUUCAAAUAAUAAGACAAUCACCUGAAAUACAACCUUCAUCCGAUCAUCAUCCUCAAGAGCAUCUGGAGCAGUUAUUCUGGUUAUUUCACUAAUACAAGAGCCAACUACUACUUUAACAUCAACAUCCAAAUGCCUAAAAAAGUGUUGUGCAACCAAUGCUUUAAUAGAUGGGCCAAACGUAUUUUGCACUGAUUUUAUAAGGAACUGCUCUACUUUUGAUAAACAAUUCUUAACCUUGUCUUUGACACUGUUUUUCUUCAUAUUCAGGAGAACUAUUUCUUCUGCAACAUCAUUCUAACUUUGCCUUCUCAAAUCAUAGACCAAAUCCACAUCCUUCGUAAACGCACUUCUCUUCUCAUCCUCUAGAGCAGUUUCUUGAGCAAGGGACCCAAAAACAGAUCAAGCAUGUCCUGCGCAGCAUCCCUGUACGCACGGGCGAAUUUACAUGCCCCAUUGCCCCCUUGAGGCAGAUUAUUUUUAAUAUUGUCCACUAAAUUUAAUAAUAUUACUAUGCAUAAUUCUUGAUUUAUUGCUACGGUCCCCUUAUUCUGAUAAGGUU
rnacentral:misc_RNA from 1 species